GACGUAGGGCGCGAGCGUUGUCCGGAUUUAUUGGGCGUAAAGAGCUCGUAGGCGGCUCGUUGCGUCGGCUGUGAAAACCCGCAGCUCAACUGUGGGCUUGCAGCUGAUACGGGCGGGCUGGAGUUCGGUAGGGGAGACUGGAAUUCCUGGUGUAGCGGUGAAAUGCGCAGAUAUCAGGAGGAACACCGGUGGCGAAGGCGGAUCUCUGGGCCAUUACUGACGCUGAGGAGCGAAAGCGUGGGGAGCAAACAGG
rnacentral:rRNA from 1 species